AAGAAGUAUCUUCAACAGAGCAUACGCAGUAUUUUAUUAUUAAUGUAUCAUGGUAAAAAACAUUUAAUAUCAUUAUUAAAUACUUGAAAAUCAAGUAUGAGUAGAUCUCCAAGAAAGAGGCUGACUAUGAUGGAAAUGCACAUCAUAAAAGAUAUCUAUCUGGAUUUUAUGUUGAGUGUCGUUAGAAGUUUCAUAUGUUAACCAUAAUGCUUCUACACUCCUCGUCAAAAAGAUAACCCAGGUGUGCUAUCUUUAAUUUCUUAAUGACGCGUGUAAAGUUCUUCGUCUGUAACGUAUAAUAUCAAAACAUUAUGAGCUCAGAAUAUGUGGUUCAUUGAAAAUAAUUAAAAAUAUUAUGAGGUUUAGUGUGUAACAAAAAAAUUGUUUUAUUUUAAGAACGAAAUGAUAACACACUCUGUUAAUAUGUUUAGAAAUUGCUCAGUAGUUCAUGAUGUAUCGAAUAAAUAUUACAGUACAAUGUUAUAUAAAUUUACGAAAAACUUUACACGCGUCAUUAAGAAAUUAAAGAUAGUACACCUGGGUUAUCUUUUUGACGAGGAGUGUAAGCAUGAGUGCUAAGUAAGUUAUUUUCCCCAUUUUUUCUUCUUUUCUAAUUCUGUUAUACUUCAUAGUAAAAAUAUUUACGUAGAUAUUUUCCAACACAGAGCAGUGCUAAAUUAUUUGUGCGGUUCCUAUUUGUAAUAAAUACUUAAACAAAUAAUGAAAUUAAUUAUUUAAAUUAGGAUAGGAAAACAAAUUUUGUUAUUGCAUACAGCUGGAACUGAAUGCCAACUAAUAUACAAAAUUUUUAUACUGUUUGUUAUUGACGUAAUCACUGUUGAGGAUAUUUAAUUAUGGUUAAAGAAUGACAUUUUUGUAUCAUACACUGAACUAAAUAUCAUUACGUAAUAAGUGACUUAUAGCAAUAAUUAUAAAAAGCACAAGUUAUAUAUUUAAUUACAUAUUAAAUUGUAUUAUUAUUAAAAAAAAAAUUGCUGUGUUUAUAUGUAUAUGUACUGUAUAUAUGUUUGACAUAUGUAUUGACUUAGUUUAGGUAUAAGAACAUCCUAGAUUAUUAUCAUGUAACUUAUAUGUAAAUGUUAUAUAUGUAUUAAUUUUUAUAUGUUUAAAAAGUGAUACUGUAUAUUACUUAAUCUGUCUAAAUUGUACAUAAAAAAUAUUUUAUGGUGUUAAAAACUGUAUAUAGUUACAUAAUUGAAAUUUAUUUAUUUUUUCGGCUUUAUUAUUUGACUUACACAUUUGUAACUUCCACUCUGUCCCAUACAUAAGUUAUGUAAUUUUAUUUUAAGAUUAAUUACUAAUUUGGAUGAAAGAUGUGUUGUAUUUUAACUUAUUAUUUCAUUUCUGGAUAUCUUAUUGAGUACUCUCGUAUGAAACUAACGAUUCACAAAUUUUGUUGCAAUUGUUAAAAACAUAAAUAACACUUUAUGCUUA